GUUCAGGGGUAAACCUGAGAAACCCGAAAGUUCGAAUGGGGAGAUUCAUCUGCAGUGACGCUGGCUUCAUUGCGGCUUUGGCGAUGCAAGGGCACUUCGGUUCCAUGGCACGUCGUCGCAGUGUUAUGUCCGGCAUCGUCGUGGUGCACUUCUCCCCUAGUAGGACGUCGCGACCCGUUGGGUGUCGGACUACGGCCUGGGCGGUUGCCCGUCGCGGCGAUUUAUCGCCAUGACAGACCCCCGGUGUUCUCCCGUCCGACUGCUCGGCGGUAUUGGUGCGAUGGUAUUCGGCCGCAGUCUAUUCGAACGAAGUGCGUUAUUGGCUCGUCGCAAGCGCGGUCAGUGUCCGUGGCGUACGGACUCAGUGCCGUCCCCGGGCCUGAUCAGCUGUUGGCUGACGGUGUCCUCUGACUGGCCGCUUACUUGUUUGCGACGCUUUUGCUUUGGGUACUCUCAGGACCCGUCUUGAAACACGGACCAAGGAGUCUAACAUGUGCGCGAGUCAUUGGGAUAACAAAACCUAAAGGCGAAAUGAAAGUGAAUGUCGUCCUUGCGUCGACAGAGGGAGGAUGGGUUGCGCAAAGCAGCCUCGCACUCCCGGGGCGUCUCGUUCUCAUYGCGAGGAGAGGCGCACCUAGAGCGUACACGUUGGGACCCGAAAGAUGGUGAACUAUGCCUGGUCAGGACGAAGUCAGGGGAAACCCUGAUGGAGGU
rnacentral:rRNA from 1 species